rnacentral:rRNA from 1 species
GAGAAACCCAAAAGAUCGAAUGGGGAGAUUCAUCGUCAGCGGCUUUGGCUUCCGUGCGGCACGCGAUGACGGGGACCUCGGUCUCGCGUCACGCUGUCGCUGCGGCAUGUCCGGAGUCGUCGGCGUGCACUUCUCCCCUAGUAGGACGUCGCGACCCGUUGGGUGUCGGAUCGAUGGCCGGUCGGUCGUCUGUUGCGCUCGCGCUUCAGACCGAUUCGGUCGAAAGUCCGGCUGCCCGGCGGUAUUGAACGAUAUGAACUGGUAUCGGGCCGCACUCGAAUGCGUUCAGGCUCGUCGGCAGGCUCGUCUCGCUCGGAUUUACGGACCUAGCGCCGUUGCCGGGUGCUUGGCGUGGCUGUUAGUCGACGAUGUCCUCGGACUGGCUCUUACCCGUCGGCGACGCUACUGCUUUGGGUACUUUC